UACGUAGGGUGCAAGCGUUAAUCGGAAUUACUGGGCGUAAAGCGUGCGCAGGCGGUUCGGUAAGACAGAUGUGAAAUCCCCGGGCUUAACCUGGGAACUGCAUUUGUGACUGGCGGGCUAGAGUAUGGCAGAGGGGGGUAGAAUUCCACGUGUAGCAGUGAAAUGCGUAGAGAUGUGGAGGAAUACCGAUGGCGAAGGCAGCCCCCUGGGCCAAUACUGACGCUCAUGCACGAAAGCGUGGGGAGCAAACAGG
rnacentral:rRNA from 1 species